UAACUGAAGAGUUUGAUCAUGGCUCAGAUUGAACGCUGGCGGCAGGCUUAACACAUGCAAGUCGAGCGGAGAGAGGUAGCUUGCUACUGAUCUUAGCGGC
rnacentral:rRNA from 1 species